rnacentral:ncRNA from 2 species
UACGUGCUCCGGGGUCGGUGUGAAUCCGAACCGGCGGUGACAGUCCGCGAACCCCUCCGCUUCGGCGGUGGGGCCGAUCCGGUGGAAUUCCGGAACCGACGGUGAUGAGGCGAGUGAUCUCCUCUAGUCCGGAUAGGAGGCAGCACGGU